rnacentral:rRNA from 1 species
UACAGAGGGUGCGAGCGUUGUUCGGAAUUAUUGGGCGUAAAGGGCGUGUAGGCGGUCAAGUAAGUGGAAUGUGAAAUCCCUCGGCUUACCCGAGGACCGGCAUCCCAUACUGCUUGGCUUGAGUUCGGGAGAGGAUGUGGGAAUUCCUGGUGUAGCGGUGAAAUGCGUAGAUAUCAGGAGGAACACCGGUGGCGAAGGCGCACAUCUGGCCCGAUACUGACGCUGACAGCGCGAAAGCUAGGGGAGCAAACGGG